rnacentral:rRNA from 1 species
AACGAACGCUGGCGGCAGGCUUAACACAUGCAAGUCGAGCGCCCCGCAAGGGGAGCGGCAGAAGGGUGAGUAACGCGUGGGAACGUACCUUUUGGUUCGGAACAACUCCGGGAAACUGGAGCUAAUACCGGAUAAGCCCUAACGGGGAAAGAUUUAUCGCCGAAAGAUCGGCCCGCGUCUGAUUAGUUAGUUGGUGAGGUAACGGCUCACCAAGGCGACGAUCAGUAGCUGGUCUGAGAGGAUGAUCAGCCACACUGGGACUGAGACACGGCCCAGACUCCUACGGGAGGCAGCAGUGGGGAAUAUUGGACAAUGGGCGCAAGCCUGAUCCAGCCAUGCCGCGUGAGUGAUGAAGGCCUUAGGGUUGUAAAGCUCUAUUGUCCGGGAAGAUAAUGACUGUACCGGAAGAAUAAGCCCCGGCUAACUUCGUG